AAGAGGAAAAUUAGGGUUGAAGUUUAACAUGACUAUUGAACUGCAAUCAAAUUUCUCACCUCUCCCUCCUUCGCGGAACUCAGGCGGCGGCUCUCCGAGCUUCUUCUCACGAAAUGGCGACGGCAAACGGCGUGGUGCGGUGGUUCAACGUGAAGUGAAGAUGAUUAUUGAUGCGUUGAAGAUUGCAGAGCAAAGUGAUCCUGUUGAUGAUUUGAGAUCGUGAUUGGAGAGUGAAGGGAGAAGUUUGAAGAGUGAUGAAGAUGAACACUGUGUGGCGAUGUUGAUGAAUUGUGCAGCGUCGGUGAUUGAAGGAGAUGAUGAAAUUGAAGCGUUGAGGCGAAGCAGAUUGAAGGUUCAAGAAUCAUGGAAUCAGUAGAGAGAUUGAAGAAUGGAUUCGUGUGAAAUGAAGGAGGUUGAAUGAAGCUUGGAUUGAAAGAGAUGAGGUGAAGAAGAUUGAAGAUUUUUGUGAAUUUCUCUGGUUUUUCUGUUAUCGACCGUGAGAGAGAAAUUGAAGAUGAAGAUGGAUGUUAUUGGAGAAGGUUGAAGAGUCAGAAGUUUGUUACAGGGUUGAUGGAUGUCGGUUUUUCUUGAUGGCAUAGUUGAGAUACGGCUUAUUUUCUCUUGAAGGGUGAAUGGUUUAUUGGCUGUGCUGCAAGUUUGGAAAUCUUUUGAAGCGUAGCAUGAUAUAGGCAUAAAUUACAUAGCUUCUUCUCGGUGGUCAAGUGUUGACGAAGUCACGGCGUGAAUUUUUGACAUUGGAUAUUAGAACAAAAUAGAUUUUGGAUAGUGAUGAAUUUAUGGAAAUGCAUAUUUGAAUAAUGAAGGAAUGUUUGAUUAUAUUUUGUAA